AUCAUGUUUAAUAGGAGAAAGUAAGGAUUAAUCUUUGGGAAUGUUUGUUCUUGCAGUAUUUUCCACUACAGUAAACCUUGGAAUGUGCUAGCUAAGAUGUUUGUGCAAAAUUAAUUACUCAGCUUUGCUUAACACAUGUUCUUUUAACUGCUGAUGCUUUAUUUGUAAUGCUUGAGAUUAUAGAAUAAUCAUAAAAUAGCUAUUUAAAUGCAUGAAGGAAUUUACAAAAAGUAAACUAAGCAAGGAGUCCCCUUCAUGAGCUUUCAUUCCAACUGUGUGAGUGGGGGGAUUGGUGAAAGAAAAUGUUGCUCCUUUGGUUUUAAUUUUUAUGUUGUUGAUCCUUAGGAAUGUUGUUUGUUUGGAAUAAGCGAAGGAAGAGAGAGGACACUUGAAAUAGCUGGCGGGCUUUCGAGGUUUAUAAAAUCUGGCCACAGGGAGACAUGAAGUUGGUAAUGUAUGAAAAGAACUAAGGCGGUGGAGCUGGUGCUUGUUGGUAGGUAGGAUUCAGGACAGGAUGCAGGUGCAACUAGUGCUGUGAAAUUGGUUGAAAAUGAAGGGAACAUAGCACUACUGUCAUAGUGCUAAUAAUAGGCUGUAAGCAGAACUACAUUAUCCAUACUAGCUGAGUAACACAUCUAAUCAUGUCUAACAAAAGCUGUCAUCUUUACUUACAGACAGAUAGAAUAUUUAUUUUUGGGGGGGAUGAGAAAAGUUGCUGUUAAACUCUUGACAUGAAAAUAUUUCUGGUGGCACAAGGCUUGGGUCCUUGCUUCUGCGCAUUCGUUUGAUCAGAUGGAUGAGUGCUACCAGGGGGAUAAAUAUACAAGGAAGAGCAGCCAAAAGCACACAGAUGGCCUGUACCCAAGGUGGAUAGACUUUCUGUUCCUUCACAGGGAAGUGUUCCUAUGGAGAUUUAAAAAAAAAAAAAAAAAAAAAAAAAGCAACAACAAAACACGGAAGUGAAAAUAAAUAAAGUGGUUAGGGCACUUACAUUUCUAUGAUUUCCAUCUCCGUUUAAAGAUAGCAGAAGUUUUGUUUUUCCUCUACAAUAGCAUUCAGUGGCCAUAUCCUCUGGAUACCCUUCUUGUGAGUCUAGAUAUAACUAUUUAAAAAAUUUACAGUUUUUCUUUUGUAGAUCUUAUUCCAGUCUCUGCAUAUAUUCACACUACAGAGGCUCAUGUCAAUCUUCGAGGAUUGCUGCAAUAUGUGUGCAGUUUAAGGCCGGAAUCGAUCUUCUGACCCCCUACAUAGCCUCUCUUUGAGAGAGAGACAAGAAACUGCAACUGGCAUGGGUCAGCUCCAUUCAGAUUGAAUGUUUUCCACAUCAACAAGACUUCGGCACAGAAUUAACCAGCACUGUUCUUGGACCGCUGCCUCCUUCCCUCCCUGUCUGUCCAAGUUGUGCAGUCAUACGUUCAUCAGUGUCCUACUGCUAUCAGUAAUUCUCAAGGGAAAUCAUAGAAUCAUUCACGUUAGAAAAGAUCGUUAAGUUCAACCAUCAACCCAUUCACCACCCUGCCCCCUAACAAUGUACUAAAAUGCCACGUCUACAUGUUUCUUGAACACCUCCAGGGAUGGUGAUUCCACCACCUCCCUGGGCAGCCUGUUCCAGUGCCUCACCCCUCUUUCUGAGAAGAAAUUAUUCCUAGUACUCUACCUGCGCCCCUUGGCGCAGCGUAAAGCUUUUGUCCUACUACUGUUACAUGGGAGAAGAGGCUGACCCCUAGUUUGCUGCAGCCUCCUUCUGGGUCAUUGUUAAGAGCGAUAAGGUCUCCCCUGAGCCUCUGAAAAUGUUUUCAUCCCUAGUGUUUGUUAUGCAGCUCUGAAGCUCUACUAUACAUGUGCAUUAUGUACUAUAAUGUACUAUACAUUAUGAAACUGAUGAAACUAUGGAGUCUCUGUGAGACGUUUCACUUUAGCAGUUCUCUGCAUCACAUGCAUCUCUAAGAGAUACGGAGUGUGGUGACACAAGGCUUCUCAGAAAGAAGCCCUGGAUAACAGGAAAGCCAUUUUAGUAUGUGUAACCUUGUAAUGUCUGUGCACACUGAAGCCUUCUUGAUCCGGGCAUUUCAUCACUUCGGACUACACUGUGUGAACAGCAAUGGUUUUAAAGGAUCUGGUGGGAGUGAGGAACAUACAACCCUCACUUCUGUUAAGUAUUGCAAAUAUUAGAGAACAUACAUAUUUGGGGUUCCAGGCUGCAUAGGUUGGCUUCUUCUGUAUCUGGAGAGUAACGAAGGCCACAAAGACAAUUAGCAGGAGCAGGGGGCUUAUAAACUUCCAUGUGAUUUGCCAGUAGAGAUUUAGUUUUCGUCCAGUCAUCCAUUUCAUGUCUUUACUGAACCUUGUAAGAGGAGGCGUGUAUAUAAACAUGUCAGAGCUUAGUGGUAACAAUUGCAUUUUCUCUGUAUUCUUUCUGUAAGUUCUAAAUGUGAUACAGCUCCUUGAGUCUUUUCAACUCCAUACCUUUCCUUAAUAACUUGCUGUAGGUGUUAAUAAUAUUUAAUAAAGUAGAGCUUUUUAGGCAAAGUUCAAGUCACAGCAAGCACCAGAGAAAACAAAAUGAUGAAAACUAACAUUUGUUGAGGACUGGGACAACUUCUGGACUGGAAGGAUCCCAACUGGGAAAGACAAACUUAAUCAAAAUGACAUGAGAUUCCUGAUAUUUACAAUUAAAAGGAUGUAGGAAAGCUUUUAUACUAAAGCAUGAUUUUUAAUCUGUCUGUGACUGAGGAGAUUCUUAACAUCUUGUCUGAGCCUUUUAAUGAGGGAAAACUACUGCAUGCUGCUUAUGGUAAAUUUUGACGCUAAACAAACAAACAAAAGCUAAAAUGCAAGAACAUGGGGAACAAAAUGACAGUAACAGAAGGAUAUUUCAAAGACAGUGCAACUCUGCUUGGCCAAGGAGCUAUGAUAGGUGUUGAUUUUUCAGCUCCAAGGCUUGAAUUUCCCCUUCUGUAAGUGCUAAGCAGAGAGCAUCCCUCCUGUUUUACAUGUACAGGAGACUCGAAGCAAAAAAUGAUAGUAGUAUUCACAGAAUUGGAAACCAUUACUGAAAUGUUAGUGUUUUGUAUGUGUACUUAACACACAUGGGUUGAGAGAAAGAUGCAUUUACCUCUUAAGAGAAAAAAGUCUGUUUCCAGCUUACCUUUUAAUUUUAUAGACGUACGCAACCCCAAUUACCUCAAAGAAAGCGAUGACUAGAAGAGGCAGUGAGCCUGCAUAGCUGUCAAAAAUGUCAAUCCAGUAACUCCCUGAACCCAGUGUAAAACAUAGAGCAAAAAGGAAGGAAGCUAGACAUAUUAUACCUGAAGAAAAAAAGAUACCUUUGUUACUGGAGGAUAGAACUUGAUGAGAUCAUUUUUGUUCUAAAUUGUUUUUACUUGUGUUUGAGUGACUUCUGUUCUCUUUCCCUGUAUGGACCUAGUUGAUACAACUUCCCAAAUGCAGUUUUCUCCUCUGGGGUGACCAAAGACACCAUUCUGUUGCAUGUGGAAAGCAUUCCUGUGACUUAAGUAUCCUUCGGUUAUUAGAGUUCCAAUCAUUGGUCCACAUGAACAGUUGGGACCUGUGGUGGCUAAGGGCCUGGAGCUGAGAAGGAUACCUCCUUAUGUCCCAAGAUCAAAGAAAGCCAUAAUGAACAAGUUCAACUCAGAGCUCAAUUCCU
rnacentral:lncRNA from 1 species